GGGCACUGAGGCUCAGGGGAUGAAGCCAUAGGCUUUGAGUCCCAGAGUCAGUGAUGGAAUCACCAGGGAGCCCAGGCAUCGUGUCUAUGCUCUGUGCCAUGUGACAAGUCUCUGCCUUCUCUUCAUCCUGAAGAGACCCUGGGUUCUUGCCUCCCUGGGCUGUGGCACCAUGCAAGGUGGCCAAGGUAGGGGCCCUGGUGUUCUGGCCCCCAGCUAGGUUCUCAGCACUACUGAGUGCUGGCUCAUGUCCAGGAGCAACUUGGACAUCAGCUCUGCCUGUCACACUGGGGUCGGCGCACCUGGCCUGUUCCAGGACAGAUCACAAGGCUGAGGGACAACCAUGUCGUGAUGAUGAUGAUGACGACGAUGACAGCGAUGGCGGUGGUGAAAGAGGAAGACAUCCCUUCAUUUCAUGUAGCAAUCUGCUUCUUGCUGGGAUUUCAAAUCCAUUUUCAUUGUUGAUCCUGAGAACAAGCCUUGGAGGCGGAAUCAUUUUGAAAUCCCAGGAAACCGGGCCUUAAGAGACGGCUGAAGACCCGAGCAGUCAUUCGGUGGAGUCUGUGAGGCCCAGAGCUGAGGAGGAGGACAUGGGUGUAGAAACGGUCGCAGCCCACACUGCUGUGCCUACAGCUCUGGAUCCUGACUGUAGCCAGUCUUGGUGCUCUGUGUUCACCUGGUUCAUCUGAGGAGCUGCAUCUACCCUGCCCAUGCCAUAGAUCCUGCCCUGUUUGCUUCUCCUGUUGCUGCUAGUGGACAUGAGAAGGACAGAAUAACGGGCUCCCAGAUUCACAAGCCCCACCAAGAGGAUCACCCCAGGAACGCUUGGAGGCUGAGGAGUUCACUGAGGCUACUGCAUCUUGAGACUCAGGAUGAAGACCCAGCUUGGGGCUGUCAAAGGUUUUUUGCAUGUCUGACACCCAUGACUCCACCUGGACCUUAUGGCUCCACCCAGAAGCAAUUCAGCCCAACAGGAGGACAGCUUCAACCCAUUACGAUUUCAUCUCUGCCCCAACCACU
ensembl:lncRNA PVT1 Pvt1 oncogene